UACAGAGGCCUCAAGCGUUGUUCGGAUUCAUUGGGCGUAAAGGGCGCGUAGGUGGCGGGCCAAGUCAACGGUGAAAGCUCGACGCUCAACGUCGAGUCGGCCGUCGAUACUGGUUUGCUGGAGCGCUGUAGAGGCCAAUGGAAUUCCGGGUGUAGCGGUGGAAUGCGUAGAGAUCCGGAAGAACACCGGUGGCGAAGGCGGUUGGCUGGGCAGUUGCUGACACUGAGGCGCGACAGCGUGGGGGAGCAAACAGG
rnacentral:rRNA from 1 species